rnacentral:rRNA from 1 species
GACGAACGCUGGCGGCGUGCUUAACACAUGCAAGUCGAACGGAAAGGCCCUGCUUUUGUGGGGUGCUCGAGUGGCGAACGGGUGAGUAACACGUGAGUAACCUGCCCUUGACUUUGGGAUAACUUCAGGAAACUGGGGCUAAUACCGGAUAGGAGCUCCUGCUGCAUGGUGGGGGUUGGAAAGUUUCGGCGGUUGGGGAUGGACUCGCGGCUUAUCAGCUUGUUGGUGGGGUAGUGGCUUACCAAGGCUUUGACGGGUAGCCGGCCUGAGAGGGUGACCGGCCACAUUGGGACUGAGCUACGGCCCAGACUCCUACGGGAGGCAGCAGUGGGGAAUAUUGCACAAUGGGCGGAAGGCUGAUGCAGCAACGCCGCGUGCGGGAUGACAGCCUUCGGGUUGUAAACCGCUUUCGCCUGUGACGAAGCGUGAGUGACGGUAAUGGGUAAAGAAGCACCGGCUAACUACGUG